rnacentral:lncRNA from 1 species
UUUCUCUAUAUUAAAUUUUAUCUUUCUAGAUUUAGGCCUGAAUAUCCUGUAGAAGACUUUAAGUUUGGAUUCUGCUACCUACUGGAUAUGCUGCAGUUUGCUGAUAGAGAUUCUUUUUGGAAACAUUUGGACAGCUAACCAACAGUCUUAGGUUGGAUGCAAGAAGACAUCAAAACACCAGCGAUGAACGUAUCAUGAGAGGACAGAGCGUCAUCAUGCAAAAAGUUACCCAGACUUUAAUGGUUCCCUGAUCACUUGAGCCUUCCCAGAAAAUGAGGACUGCCCUCAAGGACUCUGCCUCCAUUUCCAGGUACCAUUUAAGCCAUUAAGCCUUCUUUCUCUUGUGGUCUUUGCU